GGAACUACCACAGUCUGCCGCAGGGUGGCACGGGAUUCCGCGAGGAUGCCAGAAGGUGCCAGAUGUUCUGUUGGCGUCCUCGAGUCUUGACCUUCAGCAUGCACUUGGAGCGGUUCACAGCAAAGUGUGAGAGUCAGCUCCUUUAAGUUUGAGGCCAUGGUUCUCCAAAGAUGAGAAUUCCUCCUGAGCGCCUCCCUUUGGAGGUUUACCGGGAACGUCUCACUGGGAAGAGUCCUUGGGGUGGACACAGAAUGAGGUGGAGGGACCAUCAAUCCCUUCUUGCCAAGGAAUGCCUUGGUAUUCACCAGAAUAACCUGGGGAUGGAUGGAUGGACGGCUAGAUUGAUGAAUUUAACUGAAAAUAAAAAUUUUUUAAAUGUUAAAAUAA